rnacentral:rRNA from 1 species
GGAGGUAGUGACAAUAAAUCACAAUGCGGAACUUCUGUUUUGCAAUUGGAUUGAGAACAACGCACAACACUUAUCGAUAAACAAUUGGAGGGCAAGUCUGGUGCCAGCAGCCGCGGUAAUUCCAGCUCCAAUAGCGUAUAUUAACGUUGUUGCAGUUAAAAAGCUCGUAGUUGAAGUGAAGUGUGGAAGUUUAGCAUUUUCGUUUGAAUUUGCUUCUCUUCUAUACUCUUUCCAAAUAGUUUGCAUGGGUAUUCAUUUAUCUGUGUAUUGCAUUUGGUCAUUUACUGUGAGAAAAUUAGAGUGUUCAAAGCAUACGUUUGUUUGAAUACAUUAGCAUGGAAUAAUUCGAAAAGGCUUUCAUGUUCGAUUUGAUUGGUUUGUUCGUGAAGGCAAGAUUAAAAGGGACAGUUGGGGGUAUUCAUAUUCAAUAGUCAGAGGUGAAAUUCUCGGAUUUAUGGAAGAUGAACAAGUGCGAAAGCA